rnacentral:rRNA from 1 species
AAAAUUUCGUGGAGGUCCGAACCCACGAGCGUUGAAAAGCUCGGGGAUGACUUGUGGGUAGCGGUGAAAUUCCAAUCGAGCCCGGAGAUAGCUGGUUCUCCCCGAAAUAGCUUUAGGGCUAGCCUCAAGGUGAGAGAUACGGAGGUAGAGCACUGAAUGUCCUAGGGGGUAUUGCACCUACUGAAGACUAUCAAACUCCGAAUGCCGUCAUCUUAUACUUGGGAGUCAGACUGUGGGUGAUAAGAUUCAUAGUCGAAAGGGCAACAGCCCAGAUCGUCAGCUAAGG